rnacentral:rRNA from 1 species
UUGGGUUAGUGGCGGACGGGUGAGUAACGCGUGGGUAACCUGCCUUACACAGGGGGAUAACACUUAGAAAUAGGUGCUAAAACCGCAUAAGCGCACAGCUUCGCAUGAAGCGGUGUGAAAAACUCCGGUGGUGUAAGAUGGACCCGCGUCUGAUUAGCUUGUUGGCGGGGUAACGGCCCACCAAGGCGACGAUCAGUAGCCGGCCUGAGAGGGCGGACGGCCACAUUGGGACUGAGACACGGCCCAGACUCCUACGGAAGGCAGCAG